CAUGAAGCUGGAAUCGCUAGUAAUCGCGAAUCAGAAUGUCGCGGUGAAUACGUUCCCGGGUCUUGUACACACCGCCCGUCACACCAUGGGAGUCGGAAAUGCCCGAAGUCAGUGACCUAACCGAAAGGGAGGAGCUGCCGAAGGUGGAGCCGGUAACUGGGGUGAAGUCGUAACAAGGUAUC
rnacentral:rRNA from 1 species